rnacentral:rRNA from 1 species
UGGGGAAUUUUGGACAAUGGGCGAAAGCCUGAUCCAGCAAUGCCGCGUGUGUGAAGAAGGCCUUCGGGUUGUAAAGCACUUUUGUCCGGAAAGAAAUCCUUGGCUCUAAUACAGUCGGGGGAUGACGGUACCGGAAGAAUAAGCACCGGUUAACUACGUGCCAGCAGCCGCGGUAAUACGUAGGGUGCAAGCGUUAAUCGGAAUUACUGGGCGUAAAGCGUGCGCAGGCGGUUUGCUAAGACCGAUGUGAAAUCCCCGGGCUCAACCUGGGAACUGCAUUGGUGACUGGCAGGCUAGAGUAUGGCAGAGGGGGGUAGAAUUCCACGUGUAGCAGUGAAAUGCGUAGAGAUGUGGAGGAAUACCGAUGGCGAAGGCAGCCCCCUGGGCCAAUACUGACGCUCAUGCACGAAAGCGUGGGGAGCAAACAGGAUUAGAUACCCUGGUAGUCCACGCCCUAAACGAUGUCAACUAGUUGUUGGGGGUUCAUUUCCUUAGUAACGUGAGCUAACGCGUGAAGUUGACCGCCUGGGGAGUACGGUCGCAAGAUU